rnacentral:rRNA from 1 species
AACGAACGCUGGCGGCAUGCCUAACACAUGCAAGUCGAACGCCUGUAGCAAUACAGGAGUGGCAGACGGGUGCAAAACGCGUGGAAACCUAUCCUUGGGUUCGGAAUAACCGCGGGAAACUGCGGCUAAUACCGGAUACGUCCUUCGGGAGAAAGAUUUAUCGCCCAUUGAGGGGUCCGCGUCUGAUUAGCUAGUUGGUGAGGUAAUGGCUCACCAAGGCGACGAUCAGUAGCUGGUCUGAGAGGAUGAUCAGCCACACUGGAACUGAGACACGGUCCAGACUCCUACGGGAGGCAGCAGUGGGGAAUAUUGGACAAUGGGCGCAAGCCUGAUCCAGCAAUGCCGCGUGGGUGAUGAAGGCCUUCGGGUUGUAAAGCCCUUUUGGCGGGGACGAUGAUGACGGUACCCGCCGAAUAAGCUCCGGCUAACUUCGUGCCAGCAGCCGCAGUAAAAC